GUGGGGAAUAUUGGGCAAUGGGCGAAAGCCUGACCCAGCAACGCCGCGUGAGGGAAGAAGGCCUUCGGGUUGUAAACCUCUGUCCUUGGUGACGAAGAAAGUGACGGUAGCCAAGGAGGAAGCCCCGGCUAACUACGUGCCAGCAGCCGCGGCAAUACGUAGGGGGCGAGCGUUGUCCGGAAUUACUGGGCGUAAAGGGUGCGUAGGUGGCCUUUUAAGUUGGAUGUGAAAUACCCGGGCUUAACUUGGGGGGUGCAUCUAAUACUGGGAGGCUAGAGUGCAGGAGAGGGAAGCGGAAUUCCUAGUGUAGCGGUGAAAUGCGUAGAUAUUAGGAGGAACACCAGUGGCGAAGGCGGCUUUCUGGACUGUAACUGACACUGAGGCACGAAAGCGUGGGGAGCAAACAGGAUUAGAAACCCUUGUAGUCC
rnacentral:rRNA from 1 species